rnacentral:rRNA from 1 species
ACCACCCUGAACGAGCCUAGUCUCGUUUGAUCUGGGAAGCUAAGCAGAGUCGGGCCUGAUUAGUACUUGGAUGGGAGACCACCUGAGAAUUAAAAAA